UUGUAAAAUUCAUAGUAAAUAAUGCACAUUUCAGUAAUGUCUAUUCAUUAUGAUUUAUUUGAAAUUACGUAUCGAGGUCACUGAUUCCCGUGACUAAGGUAUCCAAGAAUGCAUAAGAUCUCCCGUGGCUGGUUAGAGCGCUCUAGAACGCUGAAGAUCAAGAGAGCAAAGAGUCGGUUUAAACCGUGUGCCCCGUCCCAACGUCGACUCUAUUAAUACCCGCGCCUUGUCGUCGCGUCUCGAGAACGUGUGCACCGAUAUAGAGGCAUUAAUACGAUGAGACUGUCCUUUUAUUAAAAAAUCUUCUGGUCUUAAGAACGAAUAAACUGAACAGAAAUCGUAUUCGUGUUGAUCUCGAUACGAAUAAUAUAAGAAAAAGAAAGAAAAAGAAAUAACAGAUCGUAACAGUAAGAUUGCUAAAAGGAAUCGAGGCGAUUUUCAUAUGUUAAAUGUGAAAAUAUUGAAACAUAUUAAAAGAAGGUUUAUCGUUCCAUCAAAAUGGAAACAUCAACAGUGUACUGUUACAAGUAAUUAAACGAAUUUACACGUUUGAUAGAAUUAUGCGUUUGAUUGUGAUAAAAAUGCUUUCUCUUUCUAUAAACUGCGUUAUUCCAUGAAAAAAUUGUAAACGAGAAGGUGCGAUCAGGUUAUCGACUUGAGUACGAAACACGACAAGGAAGGAAGGAAAGGAGUUGCAGCUUUAACAGGACAUAUCGUAGAUGUCGUACAAGUGCAUUCGCAGUCAAUUAUGUGAUCAGCUACAACCAUUCGCUUCAUGAAGCUAUUAGGAACAAGUUAAUAGAAUCAUCGCAUCGUUCCGAUGUGCGAUGAGUUAUCAUAAACAGUACGAGUAAAGGUAGACGAAUUCACCCUAACCAAAGGCCAUUUUCAUCGGAUUCACUCACCUUUGAUUGUACGAGAGGAUGAAAGUUACGGGAAGUCUUGUGAGAUUAAAAUAUCACCAACGAAAUCAAUCGACGAGUACAAUCCAAGAAGAGGAGAUAGGUUAAAAUACACCGUGGCAAGUUUUCACUUUUUCCUUUUCCACAACCACCAUACACCCUUACGUAUUCCCCGAAAUAACCAGUUUCGAGCGAAAACGCGCACCGCGAAAAAAAGCGUACGCGAAAAACGUACACCAAGUAAAGAAUCGAGCAAGCUAUUGAGCUCACUCUGCGAGGGGCACGGCACGUGUUGGGGCUCCCUCGACCGAGUCGCGACUGAUAUCAUUUCCAGCGGGGGACUGUGGGGUCGCCAGCCAGAACCCCACCAGGGGGUCUUCGUGCAACCCCCACGCGGUGUCGUAGUAGUCGUGUUCGCCGUCGUGGUUGUAGCUCGUUGUCGUGGCUCCACCGUUGCUAACCUCUCGAAACCCCCUUUGCACGUACAGGGAAUAAGGGACCAGGAUGUAUACGUACAUCAUGGGGAGAGAGACCUCUCUCUUCUUCUCAUACACUGCGAUCCUGUCCGCGUCGUUCUCUCUUGCACUCUUACUCCCUUGCUCCCACGUACCAUUCAUUUCCGUCUCGUUUCCACGCGCACUUUUAUCGUAUAUGUUUCUCUUUGUUUCUCAACGAGCUUCUCUCUCGUGCUGAGCUCCUAUCCUUGUUUCGCGUAACGCGUUAGGUCGAAGCGUUUGUUUCUCUUUCGUCGUUCUCCUAGCUUCGCCAGUUCUGUGUAAAGCACACGCAAUACCACACCAACACAGCUAUGGAUCUUCCUCCCCCGCCCUUCACCGAUGGUCCCCUCCCUUCGCACGAAUCCCUUACCCCCUACGUAUCCAGCAGCUUUAUCCACCCUGAACCCUCCUAUGUUGGAGGGUUGCUUCUCGGCAGCCUGAUCGGACGUUCGCGAGAAGGGACUUUCCCCUCUACCUCUCUACGCCGCCCUAACCAUGCUUUCUUCGUAUUUCAGAUUUGAGGUUGUUUUAUUCUCGAGAAAAAUUCCAUCGUCCUAUGUUUUAUCUCCUACAGUCUACUCCUUGAGACUUUACCUUUAAUAUUUUGUGAAAUUCUAAAAUAUCGCAUGCUCACAAAUUGCCGUGCAUCUCUUUCAGGGGAAAUUAAUUAUGUACUUGAUGAUUAAAAUUUUUAACAUCGCUUCAGUUACAUCGUUGUAUUUAUUUUUAUUUAUAUAUUAAUCGAAUUCCCUUUUUCGCGUUUUUGCUCGUUUCAUGCGAGGUAAGAUUUGUUCCAUUCUCACUUUACGACUAACACUACUUUCAGCUAUCUUUAAGAGUACGAUAACGAUUGCGAUAGCAUUAUAAAGAAAUUUGGCUUUGAAUCAAGAAAAAGUCAAUUUUUAAAUGGAAGGUAAAGGAAAUUCCUAGUAUACGAAUAUCGCUUUCAACAACACCAUUGGGGACAAUAUUAUCAGUGCAUUAUUCCAUUCGAAAAUUGAACUCGCAUAAAAGACCUUGUAACAUGAAACUGCUCGUUGAAGAGAAUCGCAAUACGAUGAGCACAGACUGCAAUGGGUACUGACGUAAUCAUGACAUGGAUACAUACGUACUCGUGCUCAAUGUAUGCGUAAAAUAUACAAUAUACAUAUGUUCACGUAAACUGUAAUAUAUUGCACAAUUUGUAACAUGAUCAAUAAAAUUUUAAAAAAUU